ensembl:rRNA 5S_rRNA 5S ribosomal RNA
GUCUACAGCCAUACCACCCUGAAUGCACCUGAUCUUGUCUGAUGUUGGAAGCUAAGCAGGGUUGGGCCUGGUUAGUACUUGGAUGGGAGACCACUUAGGAAUACUGGGUGCUGUAGGCU